rnacentral:tRNA from 1 species
UUUAAGGUAAGUUAAAUAAAACUGUGGGUUUGUGGUACCCAAAUUCCAUACAUGAUAGGCCUUAGUA